GGAGAGGUGUCCGAGCUGGCCGAAGGAGCCUGACUCGAAAUCAGGUAAACUCGCAAGGGUUUCGUGGGUUCAAAUCCCACCCUCUCCGCCA
rnacentral:tRNA from 1 species